GGGUGCGAUCAUGCCAGCACUAAUAAACCUGUUCCCAUCAGAACCUCGCAGUUAAGCGUGCUUGGGCGAGAGUAGUACUAAGUUGGGUGACCACUUGGGAAGUCCUCGUGUUGCACGCC